rnacentral:rRNA from 1 species
UACAGAGGUCCCAAGCGUUGUUCGGAUUCAUUGGGCGUAAAGGGUGCGUAGGUGGCGCUGUAAGUCGGGUGUGAAAUUUCGGAGCUUAACUCCGAAACUGCAUUCGAUACUGCGGUGCUUGAGGGACUGGAGAGGAGACUGGAAUUCGAUGGUGUAGCAGUGAAAUGCGUAGAGAUCAUGAGGAAGACCAGUGGCGAAGGCGGGUCUCUGGACAGUUCCUGACACUGAGGCACGAAGGCCAGGGGAGCAAACGGG